UUACGGCCACAUCACGUUGAAACACAGUUCCCCGUACGAUCACCUAAGUUAAGCAACGUCACGCUUGGUUUGUACAUAAAUGGGUGACCGCUUGGGAAUACU